UUGUACUGAGAGCAUUUUGAUCAAGGACAACUGAAAAUGGCAGGGACAAGUACCUUUAACCCAUCGGCAUACACGCCGGGGCCAUCGUUGAUUGUGGACAAUUUGCACGAAAAUGUGACUGAGGAUUUGUUGUAUACACUAUUCCGCCUAUACGGACCAAUCCUUUAUUUGCAGCUUUCCAGACAUCCAGUAACCAAACGGUCUACUGGAAGUGCUGUUGUGAGCUAUAGACACAGGUAUCAGGCAGCAAAUGCCCUAAAGGCUGUGAAUUCUUUGGAACUCAUGGGCAAAAAAGUGAGGUGCACGUGGACCAAUGUGGACUUACUCCUUAUGGCCUCAGAAGAAUACAUUGAAAAAAAUAAAAGAGAGAGGUCACGGGGUAGAUUAGGUAGAUUUGCAAAGUUUGUGGAAAAUUCUGUUACAAAAGUUGUGACAAACCCAGACAACUUGUUUGCUGCCGGCCUGCUGUUCUUAGCAGUCGUCCUGCCUACUAAGAUAUGACAGGUGCUAAUGGGCCACACCGGUCUUGUAGCUGUGCCCACGCCUCAGGAUGGAUGAAGAAAGGGUUAAGUCCUGUGCGACCACUCCAGCUUUGGGUGAAAGGCUUUGUUGCUCCCCAUGAGUGGCGCACAGGCUGACCCGCUCUCAAGGUGACCCAUGGAUGCGUCAAAGCCUGGGUCCCUUGGAAAUCAAUCACCCCGCUUUUACCAGGAAGGGUCAUGCGGAUGCCUCCAAGAUGGGCUGGGACGCCCUGUGCAAUGGCGGAAUAGGCUUUGGCUCAUGGGCGUCCCCUAUGUCGAUUUUGUCAUCAACCGCCUAGAUAUGAUGGCGGUGAUUUUGACCCUCAAGGAGUUUACGUGUGCCACAUGUUGAUCAUUUACACUGCUGACGGCUGCCGUCCGUGAGGGAGCGGGUGAUCGCCGUCGAACGGAGGACUCCUGCCGGGUACCCGGACGAGCCGUCACCGUCCACCAGGCGGUGGCCGAGGGCUAUGCAGCACCGCUGCCAGGCUUCGUGGACGAGUUCACCCAGCUGGUGGUUGACCGGAUGGUGGUUUGGGAACCGGGCCAAGAUUUUUUUUCCUCUCUUGUCUCUGUCACUCCUGAUGCUUCAUUGAAGGACGAGAGAGGACCAGGACCAUAAUUUUUAUGCAUGUGCGGCAGUCGUCCGUGAGGGGCUGCCACUUUUACUUUACUUUUGUGUUUAUUUAUUUUAUGAUUAUUAAACUUUUUUAAAAAGU